rnacentral:rRNA from 1 species
ACUCCUGCGGGAGGCAGCAGUGGGGAAUUUUGGACAAUGGGCGAAAGCCUGAUCCAGCAAUGCCGCGUGUGUGAAGAAGGCCUUCGGGUUGUAAAGCACUUUUGUCCGGAAAGAAAUCCUUGGCUCUAAUACAGUCGGGGGAUGACGGUACCGGAAGAAUAAGCACCGGCUAACUACGUGCCAGCAGCCGCGGUAAUACGUAGGGUGCGAGCGUUAAUCGGAAUUACUGGGCGUAAAGCGUGCGCAGGCGGUUUGCUAAGACCGAUGUGAAAUCCCCGGGCUCAACCUGGGAACUGCAUUGGUGACUGGCAGGCUAGAGUAUGGCAGAGGGGGGUAGAAUUCCACGUGUAGCAGUGAAAUGCGUAGAGAUGUGGAGGAAUACCGAUGGCGAAGGCAGCCCCCUGGGCCAAUACUGACGCUCAUGCACGAAAGCGUGGGGAGCAAACAGGAUUAGAUACCCCAGUAGUCCCA